rnacentral:lncRNA from 1 species
AUGUUGUCAGAAAGUAUACACACCGAUAUUGUAAUAAAUGCUUCUGAUGGAAGCAUAGGAGCUCAUCGCGCUGUUCUUGCUGCAAGGUCCCCUGUUUUCCGCAGCAUGUUCUCACAUGACCUUAAAGAGAAAGAACUAUCGACCGUAAACAUCUCUGACAUGUCAAGUGAGGCUUGUCAAGCUCUUCUAAGUUAUAUUUACGGAAAUAUACCAAACGAAGUAUUUCUUACCCACCGUCUGGCUCUUCUCCGAGCAGCUGAUAAGUAUGACAUCUCGGAUUUGAAAGAGGCAUGCCACGAUAGUCUACUUGAAGACAUUGAUACCAAGAAUGUGC